rnacentral:snRNA from 1 species
AUACUUACCUGGCAGGGGAGAUACCAUGAUCAUGAAGGUGGUUUUUCCAGGGUGAGGCUUAUCCAUUGCAUUCCAGAUGUGCUGACCCCUGCGAUUUCCCCAGAUGUGGGAAACUCGACUGCAUAAUUUGUGGUAGUGGGGGACUGUGUUCGUGCUCUCCCCUG